CGAAGUCCAGAGCCACAUAGCACAGCUUCUCCUUGAUGUCGCGCACGAUCUCACGCUCGGCUGUGGGGAGACAAGUUGAUAAGAUUGUUAUUAAGAGUGACAAACAGCCGAGACCAAAGACACAAUGUGCUUUGUUAUUGGAGCAGGUCAGGUUCCUCACCGGUGGUCACGAAGGAGUAGCCACGCUCAGUCAGGAUCUUCAUCAGGUAGUCGGUCAGAUCGCGACCAGCCAGGUCCAGACGCAUGAUGGCGUGGGGCAGGGCGUAACCCUCAUAGACUGGGACGUUGUGGGUCACACCA